rnacentral:rRNA from 1 species
AUUGAACGCUGGCGGCAUGCCUUACACAUGUAAGUCGAACGGGAACGGGCCUUCGGGUGCCGACGAGUGGCGAACGGGUGAGUAAUACAUCGGAACGUGCCCGACCGUGGGGGAUAACGAGGCGAAAGCUUUGCUAAUACCGCAUACGAUCUACGGAUGAAAGCAGGGGACCGCAAGGCCUUGCUGGGACGGAGCGGCCGAUGGCAGAUUAGGUAGUUGGUGGGAUAAAAGCUUACCAAGCCGACGAUCUGUAGCUGGUCUGAGAGGAUGAUCAGCCACACUGUGACUGAGACACGGCCCAGACUCCUACGGGAGGCAGCAGUGGGGAAUUUUGGACAAUGGGCGCAAGCCUGAUCCAGCCAUGCCGCGUGCAGGAUGAAGGCCUUCGGGUUGUAAACUGCUUUUGUACGGAACGAAAAGCCUUCUUUUAAUACAGGAGGGUCAUGACGGUACCGUAAGAAUAAGCACCGGCUAACUACGUG